GAGUUUGAUCCUGGCUCAGGACGAACGCUGGCGGCGCGCCUAACACAUGCAAGUCGAACGGAGCUGAGAGGAGCUUGCUUUUCUUAGCUUAGUGGCGAACGGGUGAGUAACGCGUGAGUAACCUGCCCUGGAGUGGGGGACAACAGUUGGAAACGGCUGCUAAUACCGCAUAAGCCCACGAUCCGGCAUCGGAUUGAGGGAAAAGGAUUUAUUCGCUUCAGGAUGGACUCGCGUCCAAUUAGCUAGUUGGUGAGGUAACGGCCCACCAAGGCGACGAUCCAUAGCCGGCCUGAGAGGGUGAACGGCCACAUUGGGACUGAGACACGGCCCAGACUCCUACGGGAGGCAGCAGUGGGGAAUAUUGCACAAUGGGGGAAACCCUGACCGAGCAACGCCGCGUGAAGGAAGAAGUAAUUCGUUAUGUAAACUUCUGUCAUAGAGGAAGAAUGGUGGAUAUAGGGAAUGAUAUCCAAGUGACGGUACUCUAUAAGAAAGCCACGGCUAACUACGUGCCAGCCGCCGCGGUAAUAC
rnacentral:rRNA from 1 species